GCAAACGGUUCCAAGACGAGGUGGGACACCGAGGCUUUCUGUAACAGGGGAAUAGACGCACUCAAUGCUGGUGGCUGUUGACUUGUAUUUCUCUCUAACAACUUAAAUCACCACUUUGCUUCAUCCAUCUAUAAAUAAGGUCUUCUUCAGUUUCAUAAAUGCAUAGAAAAUUAACAAGUUCAAAUUCCUUCUUUUCAUAUUCAUCUCUUUCAUUUUGAAUUGCAACUUUAUCCUUCCUAAAUUCCUCAACCAUGAACCACCCAUCAGGACAGCCUCAAAAUGAACUUCCUUGGUCCGCCGGAUUCUGCGAUUGCUGCUCUGACCUGAAAACUUGUUGCAUUUCAUACUGGUGCCCAUGCAUCACCUUUGGCCAGAUUGCUGAGAUUGUUGAUAAAGGGUCGACUUCAUGUGGGGCAAGUGGGGCACUAUACACAUUAAUAAUGUUCGUCACCGGAUGUGGGUGCUUAUUUCUUGCUGCUACCGAUCCAAACUGAGAAAGCAGUAUAACUUGAAAGGAGGCAAUUGUGGCGAUUGCAUGCGUCAUUUCUGCUGCGAGCCUUGUGCUUUGACACAAGAGUAUCGUGAGCUCCAGAACCGUGGAUUCGACAUGUCUAUCGGUUGGCAUGCAAAUGUGGAGAAGAACCCCGGGCUGGCGAUGGCUCCAGCGGUAGAAAAAGGCAUGAGCAAAUAGAUGAUGAUGAUGCAUUAAUAUCAUCUUUAUAUGUAACACUUAAUUCCUUUGCUUUCCAUAAUUGGAUGAUUGUACGGCUUGCCAAUUGAAUUUUCAAGUUAUGUAUGUUUGUGAUUGUCAAAAUAUAUUAAUAAAAACUGUUGCUAUUCAUGUUA